rnacentral:rRNA from 1 species
UACGGAAGGCAGCAGUGGGGAAUAUUGCACAAUGGGCGCAAGCCUGAUGCAGCCAUGCCGCGUGUAUGAAGAAGGCCUUCGGGUUGUAAAGUACUUUCAGCGGGGAGGAAGGCGGUGAAGUUAAUAGCUUCACCGAUUGACGUUACCCGCAGAAGAAGCACCGGCUAACUCCGUGCCAGCAGCCGCGGUAAUACGGAGGGUGCAAGCGUUAAUCGGAAUUACUGGACGUAAAGCGCACGCAGGCGGUCUGUCAAGUCGGAUGUGAAAUCCCCGGGCUUAACCUGGGAACUGCAUUCGAAACUGGCAGGCUAGAGUCUUGUAGAGGGGGUAGAAUUCCAGGUGUAGCGGUGAAAUGCGUAGAGAUCUGGAGGAAUACCGGUGGCGAAGGCGGCCCCUGGGACAAGACUGACGCUCAGGUGCGAAAGCGUGGGGAGCGAAACAGGGAUUAGGAUAC